rnacentral:rRNA from 1 species
ACACAUGCAAGUCGAGCGAUGAAGCACCUUCGGGUGUGAAUUAGCGGCGAACGGGUGAGGAACACGUGAGAAAUCUGCCUUCAACACUGGGAUAACUCCGGGAAACCGGGGCUAAUACCGGAUAUGAAACCUGCGGGCAUCCGCGGGUUUGGAAAGUUUUUCGGUUGAAGAUGAUCUCGCGGCCUAUCAGCUUGUUGGUGAGGUAAUGGCUCACCAAGGCGACGACGGGUAGCCGGCCUGAGAGGGCGACCGGCCACACUGGGACUGAGACACGGCCCAGACUCCUACGGGAGGCAGCAGUGGGGAAUAUUGGGCAAUGGAGGAAACUCUGACCCAGCGACGCCGCGUGCGGGAUGAAGGCCUUCGGGUUGUAAACCGCUUUCAGCAGGGAAGAAGCGAAAGUGACGGUACCUGCAGAAGAAGCACCGGCUAACUAUGUGCCAGCAGCCGCGGUAAUACAUAGGGUGCAAGCGUUGUCCGGAAUUAUUGGGCGUAAAGAGCUCGUAGGUGGUUCGUCACGUCGGAUGUGAAACUCUGGGGCUUAACCCCAGACCUGCAUUCGAUACGGGCGAGCUUGAGUAUGGUAGGGGAGUCUGGAAUUCCUGGUGUAGCGGUGGAAUGCGCAGAUAUCAGGAGGAACACCAAUGGCGAAGGCAGGACU